rnacentral:tRNA from 3 species
GUGAUGGCGAGCGUCGCGGUAGCGGUGCCGCCGUCGUUGCCGUCGCUGACCGUGUAGGUUACUACUGGCGCCGUGCCGUUCCAGUCGGCCACCGGCGUA